CUUAACUUGGCCCCUAACACAAUGAUCUAGUAGAUGGCAUCAAAGUGUUCAGAAGAGACAUUGGAGCAACAUCUUCGGAUCCUGAACUUGGCUAUGUGCCAUCUACAUGCCCCACUGUUAAGAAGAGGAAAGAAGUUUUAUGAUGAUAAAAGGAUGACCUGAGGAAACCAGAGCAUAACAUCUCUGCUGGCUGGAAACAUGUAUUAAAGAAGGUAACAAAAAUCCAGAGGAAAUGUCUUUGAAAAAUAGUUAAUACACAUGGGCUACAGCUGCCUUUUAAAGAUUAAUUUCUUGGCCAUUUACAAUGUGGUUUUUAUUAUCAAAAGCCAAUGGAGCAUAUUACCA